UACGGAGGGUGCGAGCGUUGUCCGGAAUCAUUGGGCGUAAAGGGCGCGUAGGCGGCUCGGCACGUCCGUUGUGAAAUCGCCCGGCUCAACUGGGCGGGGUCAGCGGAUACGGUCGAGCUUGAGCAAGCUAGGGGGCAAUGGAAUUCCCGGUGUAGUGGUGGAAUGCGUAGAUAUCGGGAGGAACACCAGUGGCGAAGGCGGUUGCCUGGGGCUUUGCUGACGCUGAUGCGCAAAAGCGUGGGGAGCGAUCCGG
rnacentral:rRNA from 1 species